rnacentral:rRNA from 1 species
UACGUAGGGCGCGAGCGUUGUCCGGAAUUAUUGGGCGUAAAGGGCUCGUAGGCGGUUUGUCGCGUCGGGAGUGAAAAUCCGGGGCUUAACUCUGGACUGGCUUCCGAUACGGGCAGACUAGAGGUAUGCAGGGGAGAACGGAAUUCCUGGUGUAGCGGUGAAAUGCGCAGAUAUCAGGAGGAACACCGGUGGCGAAGGCGGUUCUCUGGGCAGUACCUGACGCUGAGGAGCGAAAGUGUGGGGAGCGAACAGG